CCGGGGGAUGACGGUACCGGAAGAAUAAGCACCGGCUAACUACGUGCCAGCAGCCGCGGUAAUACGUAGGGUGCGAGCGUUAAUCGGAAUUACUGGGCGUAAAGCGUGCGCAGGCGGUUUGCUAAGACCGAUGUGAAAUCCCCGGGCUCAACCUGGGAACUGCAUUGGUGACUGGCAGGCUAGAGUAUGGCAGAGGGGGGUAGAAUUCCACGUGUAGCAGUGAAAUGCGUAGAGAUGUGGAGGAAUACCGAUGGCGAAGGCAGCCCCCUGGGCCAAUACUGACGCUCAUGCACGAAAGCGUGGGGAGCAAACAGGAUUAGAUACCCUGGUAGUCCACGCCCUAAACGAUGUCAACUAGUUGUUGGGGAUUCAUUUCCUUAGUAACGUAGCUAACGCGUGAAGUUGACCGCCUGGGGAGUACGGUCGCAAGAUUAAAACUCAAAGGAAUUGACGGGGACCCGCACAAGCGGUGGAUGAUGUGGAUUAAUUCGAUGCAACGCGAAAAACCUUACCUACCCUUGACAUGGUCGGAAUCC
rnacentral:rRNA from 1 species